UACGGGGGGGGCAAGCGUUGUUCGGAAUUACUGGGCGUAAAGGGCUCGUAGGCGGCCAACUAAGUCAGACGUGAAAUCCCUCGGCUUAACCGGGGAACUGCGUCUGAUACUGGAUGGCUAGAGAUUGGGAGAGGGAUGCGGAAUUCCAGGUGUAGCGGUGAAAUGCGUAGAUAUCUGGAGGAAUACCGGUGGCGAAGGCGGCAUCCUGGACCGACAUUGACGCUGAGGAGCGAAAGCUAGGGGAGCAAACGGG
rnacentral:rRNA from 1 species